rnacentral:rRNA from 1 species
UCCUACGGGAGGCAGCAGUGGGGAUUCUUAGACAAUGGGCGCAAGCCUGAUCUACCCAUGCCGCGUGAGUGAUGAAGGCCUUAGGGUAGUAAAGCUUUUUCGCCAGGGAUGAUAAUGACAGUACCCGGUAAAAAAACCCCGGCUAAAUUCCGCCCCCCAAACCGCCGUUAUACGGAGGGGGGGAGCGUUUUUGGAAAUUUGUGGGCGUAAAGCGUACGUAGGCGGAUCAGAAAGUAGGGGGUGAAAUCCCGGGGCUCAACCUUGGAACUGCCUCAUAAACUCCUGGUCUUGAGUUCGAGAGAGGUGAGUGGAAUUCCAAGUGUAGAGGUGAAAUUCGUAGAUAUUUGGAGGAACACCAGUGGCGAAGGCGGCUCACUGGCUCGAUACUGACGCUGAGGUGCGAAAGUGUGGGGAGCAAACAGGAUUAGAUACCCUGGUAGUCCCCCCCGCCCCUAUGAAUGCCAGUCGUCGGGCAGCAUACUGUUCGGUGACACACCUAACGGAUUAAGC